rnacentral:rRNA from 1 species
GAUGAACGCUGGCGGCGUGCCUAAUACAUGCAAGUCGAGCGAACAGACGAGGAGCUUGCUCCUCUGACGUUAGCGGCGGACGGGUGAGUAACACGUGGAUAACCUACCUAUAAGACUGGGAUAACUUCGGGAAACCGGAGCUAAUACCGGAUAAUAUAUCGAACCGCAUGGUUCAAUAGUGAAAGACGGUUUUGCUGUCACUUAUAGAUGGAUCCGCGCCGCAUUAGCUAGUUGGUAAGGUAACGGCUUACCAAGGCAACGAUGCGUAGCCGACCUGAGAGGGUGAUCGGCCACACUGGAACUGAGACACGGUCCAGACUCCUACGGGAGGCAGCAGUAGGGCAUCUUCCGCAAUGGGCGAAAGCUUGACGGAGCAACGCCGCGUGAGUGAUGAAGGUCUUCGGAUCGUAAAACUCUGUUAUUAGGGAAGAACAAAUGUGUAAGUAACUAUGCACGUCUUGACGGUACCUAAUCAGAAAGCCACGGCUAACUACGUG